UACGGGGGGGGGCAAGCGUUGUUCGGAAUUACUGGGCGUAAAGGGCGCGUAGGCGGUCCGCUAAGUUAGAUGUGAAAACUCUGGGCUCAACCCAGAGCCUGCAUCUAAUACUGACGGGCUAGAGUUCUGGAGGGGGUAGCGGAAUUCCUGGUGUGGCGGUGAAAUGCGUAGAUAUCAGGAGGAACACCGGUGGCGAAGGCGGCCAUCUGGGACAACACUGACGCUGAAGCACGAAAGCGUGGGGAGCAAACAGG
rnacentral:rRNA from 1 species